AGGUCUGACCUGCCCACUGAAAUUAUUUUAAAUGGCCGCAGUAAUUUGACUGUGCAAAGGUAGCAUAAUCAUUAGUUUUUUAAUUAAAAGCUUGUAUGAAGGGUUGGACGAGAUAAAAUCUGUCUCUAUUUAAUUUAAUAUAAAAUUUAAUUUUUAAGUUAAAAAGCUUAAAUUUUUUUAAAAGACGAGAAGACCCUAUAGAUCUUUAUAGUUUUGAUUUUGAAUUUAAUUAAUAAAUUUUUAUGAUUUAUAAUUUAAACUAUUUUAUUGGGGUAAUAGAAAGAUUAAAAUAAUUCUUUUUUUCUUUAAACAUUUAUUUAUGUUUUUAAUGAUCCAAUUUUAUUGAUUAUAAGAUUAAGUUACCUUAGGGAUAACAGCGUAAUUUUUUUAGAGAGUUCUUAUCGAUAAAAAAGUUUGCGACCUCGAUGUUGGAUUAAAGAUUAGUUUAGGUGUAGAAGUUUAAAUUUUUGGUCUGUUCGACCAUUAAAUCUUUACAUGAUCUGAGUUCAGACCGGCGUAAGCCAGGUCGGUUUCUAUCUUUAAUAAUUUUAAAAUAUUUUAGUACGAAAGGACCAAAUAUUUAAUAUAUUUAUAUUUAAUUUUUUGAAUAUUAUUAAAAAUUAUUUUGGCAGAAUAGUGCAAUGAAUUUAGAAUUCAUAAAUGUAAUUUUAUUACAAAUAAUACUUGUUUUUUUUAGAUGUAAUUUUUUCUUUAGUAUGUAUAUUUUUAUUAAUUAUUUGUGUUUUAGUUGGAGUUGCUUUUUUAAC
rnacentral:rRNA from 1 species